rnacentral:precursor_RNA from 1 species
AGCGGGACCGCCCUGCGACAGGUUCCCGGGGGGAACAGGACGAGGGGAUUGCGCUGU